rnacentral:lncRNA from 1 species
CUCGUACUCCAAAUACGGACUUCAUAUCCGAUAAUAUAAGAUGAACUUCUCCAAGCCGAGUUAAAAUCUUUUCACAAUCUUGUAUAUGAUCAACAACAUAUUUGUGACACCCCGUCUUAUCUAAAGUUUCAUCCUUGUCUCCUUCUCUGCACCCUUUUAUGGAAACAUCAUCCAGAAAAGGCAUAGUCUUUUUCGGAAUAAAAUCUCUCAAUACCUUAUUCAUCCCAUCCA